GACAUGCGUAGCAAGUACCCUUAUCUGUUCAAUGUGUAAUAAUGUACUUUAUUCUGCCUUGUGUAAAAUUCGAGGACGAAUUUUCUGUAAGGGGGGAAGAAUGUAACACCCCUGAUUUUUAUAUAUUAUUAUUGGGCUUCGUGUAGGUAUCCUCAAUUCGCGGAAAUUCGACAGUUAUCCGGAUCUGUGAAUUUCCGGCCAGACAGACCAGCUACCGGAAAAGUCUCCGAAUUGGAUCGAGAUUUUGGCUACCCCACCAUUUUUAGGCAUCCCGAGCACGUUCCCGAAGUCGGAAUCGGCAAAGGUGAGCCGGGACAGCCUUCUUCCUCCGCCCAGCCGCCACAGUAAUUUGUCGUCAAGUCUGCCACAGGAGGAUAUUUUAUUCUGGGUUAACCUGCUUUUAUCCUUCGCAGGUUGUUUAUCCAUGUUUGUGUAAUUUUAAUUACUCCUAGAAUUUCCGCAUGUGUUAGCAGUAUUUAUUUGAAUUUGGUAUGUAAUAUUUUUAUCAUGUUGGACCUGUAAACUUAAAUAUGUUAUGCAUGUUGAUGGAUUGGAUGAGGGAGCUGAGCUCCCAUUUAUUUUAUGUUGAUGAGUAUGUGGAGGGUGAGCUGAGCUCCCCAAUUGAGUA